CUGCAACCCAUUCGAAAAGAUGAAAGAUUUAACAAUCCAGAGUAUUUGAGAUCUGAAGUUUCAAAAUGAACAGCCUUGAUGUCUCAUUUUGGAGGGGACGGCCUUUUGGCCUUAUGUCCAAAACAGACUCUCCUGCUGCUCUGAUGUUGCCUGACCUGCUGUGUUCUUCCAGUGCUGCACUUCUCGACACUCACUGUCUAGCGUCUGCAGUCCUCACUUUGACGUCAAUGUCUGACAGUCACUCAAUCCAUCGGGACCGCAACAAUUUUCAACCGUGAUUCUGUGAGAAAGAGCAAAGCUUUUUGGUUCCUGUUUCAGUACAUUUUCAGCAUCAGUGGGUCUGGAUGAGAGACCCUACUGUUGCAGCGCACUGUUUGUGGAGCCUGAAACAGCUAUACGGCCUGGAAAGAGGAAUUCACACCAGGGAGGAGCUGUACACACGAUUGUUUGCAGUUGAAGCUACGGCCAUGGAGAAACUUGAGGAAUCCCGCCCCAUGGAGAAACCGUGGAAGUGUGCCAACUAUGGGAAAGGCUUUCGUGCCCCGUCUGCCCUGUAGACUCAUUGGCACAGCCAUACCGGGGAGAGGCCAUUCUCCUGCCCCCAUCUGUGGGAAGGCCUUCAGUGAUUCCUCCUGAGGCACCAGUUGGUCCACACAGGGGAGAGGCCCUUCAGCUGCCCCAAUUGUGGGAAGACCUUCAGCGAUUCCUCCUCCCUGCUGACCCACCAGCGAGUCCUCACUGGGGAGAGGCCCUUCAGCUGCUCAGAGUGUGGGAAGUGUUUCACCCACUCCUCCCACCUGCAGAGGCACCAGCGAGUUCACGUGCCAUUGCAGGGGGAUUGAAGGAGUGACGGCCGAGUGCCAUUAUUGACUGGACUAUCAACCCAGUUCCGGGGACUCCCGGGUAUGAAUUCCGCCGUGGCAGUUGGUGGAAUUGGAAUUCUGUUGGAAGUCUUGGAGUUCAGAAUCUAUAAAUGAAACCAUUUUCAUGGUGUGGGGGAAUCCCAUCUCAUUCACUCACAUCCUUUUGAGGAAAGGAUUCACUCAGUCACCCGAGCUGUAUCAUUUACUUGGUCUCACCAACAGGUGACUCCAGACCCACAGCAGUCUGUUGACUCUACACUGCCCCAACUCUCCAAUCACCCUCCCCAGCAGAUGGGCUGGGAGAAUCUUACAGGGAGACAGGGUAUGGAUUGCUGAGGGAGGCAAUACUUGCUCUGGAUUAAGGUUGUACCAAGGAUCCAAUUACAAAGGGACAACCUGGUGGUUACCAAUAGUAAAGGAAGUGAGGUGGGGUGGUGUUUGCGCGCUUUGACCUACAGUUGUUUAAAAAGCAGCUACGUUUUCCAUGCCUUUUUAGAUGGGGGAUCUGAAGCUGUAACAAAGUUGGGUCACAAUAAAGGUUACCUGAACUUA